rnacentral:rRNA from 1 species
UCCGGAUUUAUUGGGCGUAAAGCGAGCGCAGGCGGUUAGAUAAGUCUGAAGUUAAAGGCUGUGGCUUAACCAUAGUACGCUUUGGAAACUGUUUAACUUGAGUGCAAGAGGGGAGAGUGGAAUUCCAUGUGUAGCGGUGAAAUGCGUAGAUAUAUGGAGGAACACCGGUGGCGAAAGCGGCUCUCUGGCUUGUAACUGACGCUGAGGCUCGAAAGCGUGNGGAGCAAACAGGAUUAGAUACCCUGGUAGUCCACGCCGUAAACGAUGGGUGCUAGGUGUUAGACCCUUUCCGGGGUUUAGUGCCGCAGCUAACGCAUUAAGCACUCCGCCUGGGGAGUACGACCGCAAGGUUGAAACUCAAAGGAAUUGACGGGGGCCCGCACAAGCGGUGGAGCAUGUGGUUUAAUUCGAAGCAACGCGAAGAACCUUACCAGGUCUUGACAUCCCUCUGACCGCUCUAGAGAUAGAGUUUUCCUUCGGGACAGAGGUGACAGGUGGUGCGUGGUUGUCGUCAGCUCGUGUCGUGAGAUGUUGGGUUAAGUCCCGCAACGAACGCAACCCCUAUUGUUAGUUGCCAUCAUUCAGUUGGGCACUCUAGCGAGACUGCCGGUAAUAAACCGGAGGAAGGUGGGGAUGACGUCAAAUCAUCAUGCCCCUUAUGACCUGGGCUACACACGUGCUACAAUGGCUGGUACAACGAGUCGCAAGCCGGUGACGGCAAGCUAAUCUCUUAAAGCCAGUCUCAGUUCGGAUUGUAGGCUGCAACUCGCCUACAUGAAGUCGGAAUCGCUAGUAAUCGCGGAUCAGCACGCCGCGGUGAAUACGUUCCCGGGCCUUGUACACACCGCCCG